ensembl:lncRNA
UAUGGGGCAGUCGGGUGUCAAACUCUCGACCUGAAAGGGAUUUGGGCUUUCUUAGUGGUUAGGGAGGUGGUCAGGGGAGUAAUGGUGGACUCUCUCUAAGCACCUAAUACCCAGUACUGGGCCUCUAGUCUGGCACACCCACCUUAUCCUGGUCUCAUACACCUCGGACACUCUGGACAUUACCGACAACGGCCCGGUCUGGCUCCGAUAGCCGCAGUGUGGAUGGCAGCAACACCAAGUUGGAGUCCCCUUACCGACGCCCACACAUCCACAUGCCACGCUCCGCCGUGCAGACACCCAGGCACAGGACGAGCCAACGGAACAUCUGACCAUGAAGUUUGCCAGGCUGUGGAUUCUCCAGCCCUGCAAUCGCAGAAAAUCAUUCUCCAUCCACAUUAAAGCUCAGCCCUCUCCAUCACUGGUGCCCCUGACAACACAGGAAAUGGAUCCCACCCGACGGCAGACUCAGCCUCCACACUGUUUAUCACCACAAUUAUCCCCCAUUCAUUCACAGGCUUAUAAGGUAAACUGCCAUUCGGCGAUGUGAAACCACAGGUCUGGACUGGCAAUUUGAUGUAAUUGUGCCGCUGUGAUCAUCUGUAGUAGGAGCCAGGCACCUCAUUUACUGUGGCAUUCUAUUGGAGGGAGAAAAUUAUAAGGAAUGAGUCUUUGAUUUUUGGAGAGGGACAAUGGUGUAGUAUAAUGUGGCUGAGAUCAAACAGAAUAGAGGUAGAUAUAGAAAGGGGCAGCCUGCUGGAUGCAUCGACCAAGCACAGGGAGGGGAGGGGGGACAUCCUCCCACUACCAUGGCCAUGGGGAACUGCGGGGAGAGAGCACUGUGAACGCGGUGACAAGGACAUGUUCCCUGGCUGGGCCUGAGAGUGGGUCUGGGUCCCCCCAAAGGACACGCACACAGGAAACAUCCAGGACCCUAUCCGCUGGCCUUAACUGACCUUUAGCUAAUGGAGGUCUGGCCUCUGAUCAUUGCACUGAGAGACUGGCGGAAGCCAUCUUGCCUUUUUUUUCUGAGAGAGGGAAUGGAGGGGGCAAGGGGGACAAAGGGGACAGAAUUGGACGGAGCCAGGAGCCAACAUGCGGCCAUCGACCCUGCCACUCUCUCAUCCUGUGGGUGAUAUCUGUGCCAGCGGGCCUGGGGAUGGUAAUGUCAUGAUGCCACUCUGCCCUGCCACUGAGGAAGGACGGCCAACCCUUCUGUCUCUGGCUCUGUGCUGUAGGGAGGGAAAGUCAGUGCAGAUCCACUUGUGAAUGUCAGAUCUAUCUAUAAUAAUGGCUAUUAUGGCUUUGUGGUUGAAUGCGAAUCAGCUUUAUCAGUAGGCUAUACUGCAAUUAAGAAUCCUACGAAAAAUCAAGUGUUUAUGACAAGUUUAUGGCCAAUUUUGCAUUGAAAUUUUGCAUUGAAACUCUUAGAAAAAAGGGUUCCAGAAGGGUUCUUUAGUUGUCCCCAUAGAAUAACCCUUUUUGGUUCCAGGUAUAACCCUUUUGGGUUCCAUGUAGAACCCUCGGUGGUUUGGGAUGAGUUGGACCUCAGAGUGAAGGAAUAGCAGCCAACAAGUGCUCAGCAUAUGUGGGAACUCCUUCAAGACUGUUGGAAAAGCAUAAAAUAAAGAAAAACCCUUGAAUGAGUAGGUGUGUCCAAACUUUUGACUGGUAUUGUACAUGGAACCCCAAAGGGUUCUAUCUGGAACCAUAAAGUGUUCAUGAAAGGGUUCCCCUAUGAGUACAGCUGAAUAAAAAAACAUUUACGGUUCUCUGUACGAGCCAGAUGGUUCACUACUGUACCUUUCAUCAUAGUAGCCUCUGAGGCACAUCCCACAUUAGCAUAGAACAACAGCCUUUGUAUCGUAAUGAGAUACACGCUUCCUUACAAUGAUGCAAAGCAAUUCAUAUGAUCAACU